rnacentral:rRNA from 1 species
AUUGAACGCUGGCGGCAUGCCUUACACAUGCAAGUCGAACGGCAGCACGGGAGCAAUCCUGGUGGCGAGUGGCGAACGGGUGAGUAAUAUAUCGGAACGUGCCCAGUCGUGGGGGAUAACGCAGCGAAAGCUGUGCUAAUACCGCAUACGAUCUACGGAUGAAAGCGGGGGAUCGCAAGACCUCGCGCGAUUGGAGCGGCCGAUAGCAGAUUAGCUAGUUGGUGAGGUAAAGGCUCACCAAGGCGACGAGCUGUAGCUGGUCUGAGAGGACGACCAGCCACACUGGAACUGAGACACGGUCCAGACUCCUACGGGAGGCAGCAGUGGGGAAUUUUGGACAAUGGGCGAAAGCCUGAUCCAGCAAUGCCGCGUGCAGGAUGAAGGCCUUCGGGUUGUAAACUGCUUUUGUACGGAACGAAACGGUGAGCUCUAAUACAGUUUGCUAAUGACGGUACCGUAAGAAUAAGCACCGGCUAACUACGUGCCAGCAGCCGCCGUAA